GAUGAAGAACGUAGCGAAAUGCGAUAAGUAAUGUGAAUUGCAGAAUUCAGUGAAUCAUCGAAUCUUUGAACGCACAUUGCGCCCGUCAGUAUUCUGGCGGGCAUGCCUGUUCGAGCGUCAUUACGCCCCUCAAGUCCCCUGUGGACUUGGUGUUGGGGAUCGGCGAGGCUGGUUUUCCAGCACAGCCGUCCCUUAAAUUAAUUGGCGGUCUCGCCGUGGCCCUCCUCUGCGCAGUAGUAAAACACUCGCAACAGGAGCCCGGCGCGGUCCACUGCCGUAAAACCCCCCAACUUUUUAUAGUUGACCUCGAAUCAGGUAGGACUACCCGCUGAACUUAAGCAUAUCAAUAAGCGGAGA
rnacentral:misc_RNA from 1 species